AUUGAACGCUGGCGGCAGGCCUAACACAUGCAAGUCGAGCGGCAGCGGGACCUUCGGGUUGCCGGCGAGCGGCGGACGGGUGUGUAAUGCCUAGGAAUCUGCCUGUUAGUGGGGGAUAACGCGGGGAAACUCGCGCUAAUACCGCAUACGUCCUACGGGAGAAAGCAGGGGCUCUUCGGACCUCGCGCUAACAGAUGAGCCUAGGUCGGAUUAGCUAGUUGGUGGGGUAAUGGCCCACCAAGGCGACGAUCCGUAACUGGUCUGAGAGGAUGAUCAGUCACACUGGAACUGAGACACGGUCCAGACUCCUACGGGAGGCAGCAGUGGGGAAUAUUGGACAAUGGGCGAAAGCCUGAUCCAGCCAUGCCGCGUGUGUGAAGAAGGUCUUCGGAUUGUAAAGCACUUUAAGUCGGGAGGAAGGGCUGUAGGCUAAUACCUUGCAGUUUUGACGUUACCGACAGAAUAAGCACCGGCUAACUUCGUGCCAGCCGCCGCCGUAACAC
rnacentral:rRNA from 1 species